CUUAAAAUUCUAUUGAGUCACAGAACGGGAAAGCAGAGAGGAAAUAAAUCAUUGAUCCAAUCCAUCUUCCACCUCAACAGAGGAGGAAACUGAGGCCCAACCCCAGGAAGGGAUCCGCCUUGCCUUUGACCACCCAGGCCCCCUGACUGACCAGCCAUGCCCAGCCCCAUUUCAGGGGUGAGGGGAGGCUGGCUCAGCCCUGACUUCUUCCCCCCUGAGGUUCCUAGGUCCUGCAUGAGGCUGGUGCACAAGCUGAUUCUGCUGAGAAAGAAGCCAAGAAGCCUCCCUUAAACACUUCUACUUUGCCCCAGGAAAAAGGGAGAUACCUGUUGUCUCUACUCUCGGCAGGCUGACUACCCUUUGUAAUGGGAUUGAUUCCACUCCAUGGGCCUCUCUUUCCAGGGGGUUUCAGGCCCUUCCCCAGCAGCAGCACUGGAAAUGGCGGGUCUGCUCUUGACAACAUGGUAUCACCCACGCAGCCCAGAGCCUCACACAUGGCAGGUGUCAAAGGUUAAUGAUGCCCAGGAAGGAGGCACAGCUGUACAGCCCAGGCCGAGAGCUGCUCAAAGAGACCCCUGUUAAUCCUCAGGCCUGUGGAAAGGCAAGGGCGUGACCUCAAGGUGAGUGUUGAGUGUAAGGGCUGUCCUUGGGUGGGGCAGGGCUAGGGGUAAGGAGGGGAUGGGAUGGACCAAGCUGGUGUGGGAGCCAGGGAAGUGUUGGAGAGGAGAGUCCAAGCUCCCUGAGGGAAGGUGAUCAGCAAAUCCCUGCUGGUUGGUUUUUCUUCAGAGAGCCUUUGAGUUGAGUGCCUAGGACUGUGUGAGUCCCUAUGAAACUUGAAAAGAGGGAAUGAGAAGGACCCAGUGGAGAAGCAUGGCCAGUCCUAGCUGGGCACAGAGUCCUGGUCCAGGGAGUUCGCAUCUGGGACUGUGUGCCACCCUUGGCCCCUGCCCCCUCCAUGUCACAGAAAUAACAGCAGCAACCUCCCAGGGCUGUUACCAGAAUGGAAUGAAAUCAUGUGCCUGGCGCAUAGUAGGAGCUUAAUCAAGGCUUAUGGAUUAAUUGAUCCAAAAAAGGGUCAUCGAGCGUUAGGGCUGAAGGGCCUUUAGAGAUCACGUGACCCACCCCCUUCAGUCUGCAGACGGUGAACAAAGUCCCAGACUGGUCUUAACCUGUUAGUGCUGAGUCACGCUGGUAACCGGCGUCAGAGCUGGGAUUCAAAUGGCAGAUCCAGGUCCUCCAGUGAAAACUCCCUGCUUCAUCGCCUCCAAGGGAAGGCGAACAAGCAAGGUGUUGAAUGUCCUGUUACAGGCCAGUCUGACGAUAAGUCUGACCUUGAGCAGGAAGGAGGGCGACUUUGCCAAAGCUCUUCAACACCCUCUAAUUUCAUACUGACAAGGUCUCUGUGAGUAUUCCUGCCUCCUCUUCCCAUGUCACGGAUAAAGAAACUGGACCCAGGGACGUUCAGCGGCCUGUA
rnacentral:lncRNA from 1 species